UUCCACCAGGAGCACUCCAAACUAUCCCUGACAACCCCUUCCACCAGGAGCACUACAGACUAUCCCUGACAACCCCUUCCACCAGGAGCACUCCAGACUAUCCCUAACAACCCCUUCCACCAGGAUCACUACAGACCAUCCCUGACAACCCCUUCCACGAGGAGCACUCCAGACUAUCCCUGACAACCCCUUCCACCAGGAGCACUACAGACUAUCCUUGACAACCCCUUCCACCAGGAGCACUCCAAACUAUCCCUGACAACCCCUUGCACCAGGAGCACUACAGACUAUCCCUGACAACCCCUUCCACCAGGAGCACUCCAAACUAUCCCUGACAACCCCUUCCACCAGGAGCACUCCAAACUAUCCCUGACAACCCCUUCAACCAGGAUCACUCCAGACUAUCCCUGACAACCCCUUCCACCAGGAGUACUACAGACUAUCCCUGACAACCCCUUCCACCAGGAUCACUCCAGACUACCCCUGACAACCCCUUCAACCAGGAGCACUCCAGACUAUCCCUGACAACCCCUUCCACCAGGAGUACUACAGACUACCCCUGACAACCCCUUCAACCAGGAUCACUCCAGACUAUCCCAGUCCCCUUCCACUGUAGAUUCACUGUACGUCCACUCUAUUAUCCCAGGUACACCCAAAGACAUACAUGGCACUGUGUUCAUGUAGCUUUGUUUGCAGAUGUCACAUAUUUUUUUAUUAUAUAUGUUAUAUAUUUCAGAAGUACUUUUAUGAUUGACUGUUUGAACGAAGUGUCAUGUGACAGAGAUGUGUGAUAGCCAAUUGUACCUGGUCAACAAUGGUCAGUUUAAUGGCCAAUCAUAAUUUUUUUAAUAACAUUUUUCUGGUGUCUUGUUUACCAUGUUCAAGAAACAAGUUUUAUGAAGAAAAAUUGUAAGUGCUGAUAUUUCACAUCCACUUUGUGUAUUCCACUGAUCAAGUAAUGUAAACAUUGCAGGAGUCAUUUCGUGUGUCACAUUAAAUACAUGAAACUUGAGUUGUGGGACUGACCAAGCAUCCAUGUCAGUCUCCACGCCGGGACCCGUAGGUUGUGGGACAGACCAAGCAUCCAUGUCAGUCUCCACGCCGGGACCCGUAGGUUGUGGGACUGACCAAGCAUCCAUGUCUGUCUCCACGCCAGGACCCGUAGGUUGUGGGACUGACCAAGCAUCCAUGUCCGUCUCCACGCCGGGACCCGUAGGUUGUGGGACAGACCAAGCAUCCAUGUCAGUCUCCACGCCGGGACCCGUAGGUCGGAACACAGUGGAAUCAGGAAAAGUUCAUUUUUUUUUUUAUCACGUUUGGGAUGUGUACAAAUUUUGCUUCACUCUACUCUACAAAAGAUGUCACAAAAUCAUUGCUGCCAAAUUUGGUUACUGUGGUGUUCAUGGAUAAGUUAAAAGUGUAUAUAUGAUAUCCAUGUCAAGUCCGAUGUUUCGCAUACUUGUUGUCAGCGAGGUUAGAUAAACUGUGAUAGAGUUUGGUUGAGAGAGACACUGCCUGGUAUACAACAAUCAGUGACAAUGUAACACAAAGCCUUAUGAUACAGAAGGAGCUCUUUUGUCAUGCUCAUUUUUAUGAUUGAAGAAUGUAUAUUAACUGAUCAUCAUUCUCUGAAUUUAAUUAAUGCAUCACACUCUCAGUUACAUGUAACCAGUCACGUGACGAAAUGGGUCCGGGUAGUUUUUUUAAUAUUUACCCGAUCCAGGUCACCAGUCCCAGACCUCAUCGUAAUGAUAAAUAUCUGAUCAUGUGUCUUUUUACGUGCAACAGGGACUUCAAGUGUGGAGCCCUGCGUCUUGUGUAAUGUGUUGAUACUCAAGGUCAUACAGGGCAAAUGCAUUUUGUAUUAGCGCACUAUUACUAAUUCAGGAACAUAGAGGACGUUCUUGAGUAUUUUUGGAAAUGUAACCUUGGAAGACUGUCUCCCUCAGGCCUUGUUGUGCAAUGUCACAA
rnacentral:lncRNA from 1 species